ACUCAAAUGAAUUGACGGGGGCCCGCACAAGCAGCGGAGCAUGUGGUUUAAUUCGAAGCAACGCGAAGAACCUUACCAGGUCUUGACAUCGACGUAAAGCGUGUAGAGAUACACGUGGUCUUCGGACAACGGAAGACAGGUGGUGCAUGGUUGUCGUCAGCUCGUGUCGUGAGAUGUUGGGUUAAGUCCCGCAACGAGCGCAACCCUUGUCGUCAGUUACUAACGCGUAGAGGCGAGGACUCUGACGAGACUGCCGUGGACAACACGGAGGAAGGUGGGGACGAUGUCAAAUCAUCAUGCCCCUAAUGACCUGGGCUACACACGUGCUACAAUGGCCGUAACAAAGAGGAGCGAAGCCGCAAGGCGGAGCGGAUCUGAGAAAAGCGGUCUCAGUUCAGAUCGUGGGCUGCAACCCGCCCACGUGAAGUCGGAGUUGCUAGUAAUCGCGAAUCAGCAUGUCGCGGUGAAUACGUUCCCGGGCCUUGUACACACCGCCCGU
rnacentral:rRNA from 1 species